UUAUUACUCAUUCAAUAUGAACUUCUCCUUGAUCUAAUUCUAUUACUUAUUCGAUAUGAACUUAUCCCCGAUCUAAUUCUAUUACUCAUUCGAUCUGAACUUGUCUCCGAUCUAAUUAUAUUACUCAUUCCAUAUGAACUUGUCCCCGAUAUAAUUAUAUUACUCAUUCGAUCUGAACUUGUCUCCGAUCUAAUUCUAUUACUCAUUCCAUAUGAACUUGUCCCUCACCUACUUUAUUACUUAUUCGAUAUGAAUUUGUCCUUUAUCUAAUUCUAUUACUCAUUCGAUAUGAACUUGUCCCCGAUCUAAUUCUAUUACUCAUUCCAUAUGAACUUGUCCCUGAUCUAGUUCUAUUACCCAUUCGAUCUAAAUUUAUCCCCGAGCUUAAUUUAUUUUUCUCUUCAUAUGUCCCCGAGUAUUUGUUGGAUCUUGCUGAAGACCUUGAAGGAUCU
rnacentral:lncRNA from 1 species